rnacentral:rRNA from 1 species
AUUGAACGCUGGCGGCAUGCCUUACACAUGCAAGUCGAACGGCAGCACGGAGCUUGCUCUGGUGGCGAGUGGCGAACGGGUGAGUAAUAUAUCGGAACGUACCCUAGAGUGGGGGAUAACGUAGCGAAAGUUACGCUAAUACCGCAUACGAUCUAAGGAUGAAAGUGGGGGAUCGCAAGACCUCAUGCUCGUGGAGCGGCCGAUAUCUGAUUAGCUAGUUGGUAGGGUAAAAGCCUACCAAGGCAUCGAUCAGUAGCUGGUCUGAGAGGACGACCAGCCACACUGGAACUGAGACACGGUCCAGACUCCUACGGGAGGCAGCAGUGGGGAAUUUUGGACAAUGGGCGAAAGCCUGAUCCAGCAAUGCCGCGUGAGUGAAGAAGGCCUUCGGGUUGUAAAGCUCUUUUGUCAGGGAAGAAACGGUGAGAACUAAUAUCUCUUGCUAAUGACGGUACCUGAAGAAUAAGCACCGGCUAACUACGUGCCAGCAGCCGCGGUAAUACGUAGGGUGCAAGCGUUAAUCGGAAUUACUGGGCGUAAAGCGUGCGCAGGCGGUUUUGUAAGUCUGAUGUGAAAUCCCCGGGCUCAACCUGGGAAUUGCAUUGGAGACUGCAAGGCUAGAAUCUGGCAGAGGGGGGUAGAAUUCCACGUGUAGCAGUGAAAUGCGUAGAUAUGUGGAGGAACACCGAUGGCGAAGGCAGCCCCCUGGGUCAAGAUUGACGCUCAUGCACGAAAGCGUGGGGAGCAAACAGGAUUAGAUACCCUGGUAGUCCACGCCCUAAACGAUGUCUACUAGUUGUCGGGUCUUAAUUGACUUGGUAACGCAGCUAACGCGUGAAGUAGACCGCCUGGGGAGUACGGUCGCAAGAUUAAAACUCAAAGGAAUUGACGGGGACCCGCACAAGCGGUGGAUGAUGUGGAUUAAUUCGAUGCAACGCGAAAAACCUUACCUACCCUUGACAUGGCUGGAAUCCCCGAGAGAUUGGGGAGUGCUCGAAAGAGAACCAGUACACAGGUGCUGCAUGGCUGUCGUCAGCUCGUGUCGUGAGAUGUUGGGUUAAGUCCCGCAACGAGCGCAACCCUUGUCAUUAGUUGCUACGAAAGGGCACUCUAAUGAGACUGCCGGUGACAAACCGGAGGAAGGUGGGGAUGACGUCAAGUCCUCAUGGCCCUUAUGGGUAGGGCUUCACACGUCAUACAAUGGUACAUACAGAGCGCCGCCAACCCGCGAGGGGGAGCUAAUCGCAGAAAGUGUAUCGUAGUCCGGAUUGUAGUCUGCAACUCGACUGCAUGAAGUUGGAAUCGCUAGUAAUCGCGGAUCAGCAUGUCGCGGUGAAUACGUUCCCGGGUCU